GGCUCGAUUCCAGGACGCUGUAAUCAUGACCUGAGCCGAAGGCAGACGCUCAACCAUUUGAGCCACACAGGCACCCGCAAAUUUUGUUAUUUUUACUCUCAAAUACAUCUUGAAUCUAUCUACUUCUCUCCAGUUGUAAUGCUUCCUCACUAGCCCAGACACCAUGAUCCUUCCUCGGGUCUACUACAGUAGUCUUCAAUGUCUCUGUUCCAUUUUUGCUCAUUACAAAUCUCUUCACAGUUACCAAAGAGACUUAAAAAUAUAUGUAUAUAAGUCAGAUCAUGCCACACCCCUGCUGUAUCCAUUAAAUGCUUCCAGCACAAAUAACAGAAACCCCAGCUAAUAGAAACUUAAACCAUAAGGAAAAUUAUUUUCUGUUUAGCAAAAAGGGUGAAGAUCAGUGUUCUCAGGAUUGGUUUAGCAGUUUGUUGAUGUCCUCAAGGACUCAAGUUCUUUCUAUCCUUUCCACCAUCCUAAGUCUGUUGACUCUCAUCUUCAGGCUUAUGGCUGCAGGACGGCUGCCAUAGCUCUGUACAUUGCAUCAAAACAGGACAACAGCCAAACAGGAAGAGAAGAGGCAAAAAGCUUUAUUUACUUGGGGCUCUACUAUCAGAAAUAAAAAUGUUUCUCAGAAGCUUCCAGUGACUUCCCCUUAGAUCUCAUUGUUCAGAAUUGGCUUAAAUAAAUUAUGAUUCACUCCCUGAAGUGAGACGCAUUGCCACCCAAGCAAAACUGGAGCUCCAUUAGCAAGGAAGAAGAGCUUAUGGCUAUUAGGAUGUAGAGCCCACAGAGGCAUAGACUGUUUCUUGUUCACCGUUAUACCUCCAUUGUCUACAAUAGUACCUAGCACACGGUACGUAUUCAAUAAAUACGUGUUGAAUGGAUGAAUAAAGAAUGAAUGAAUGGAAACAAGGAUAAAAGGAAAGGUGUGGGAUUAAAUAAAGACAGAAGAGAUGGACUCUCCGCCUGCAACAUGGGUCGUGUUCGCACCAAAACCGUGAAGAAGGUGGCCUGAGUCAUCACUGAGAAGUACGACACACAUCUGGGCAAUGACUUCCGCACCAACAAGCGUGUGUGUGAGGAGAUUGCCAUCAUCCCCAGCAAGAAGCUCCGAAGCAAGAUCACAGGCUUUGUCACACACCUGAUGAAGUGGAUUCAGAGGGGCCCAGGGAGAGGAAUCUCCAUCGGGUUGCCGGAGGAGAGAGGAAGGAGGGAUAAUUACAUGCCCGAGAUCUCUGCCCUGGAUCAGGAGAUCCUGACACUAAGGAAAUGUUGAAACUCUUGGACUUUGGCAGUCUGUCCAAACUGCAGGUCACUCAGCCUGCACUUGGGAUGAAUUUCAAAACACCACGUGGAGCCGUUUGAAUAUUUUUGCUGUGCUGUAAUAGCUUCAAUAAACCUUGGACAACAACCUUAAAAAAAAAA